rnacentral:rRNA from 1 species
CGGGUGAGUAACACGUGGACAAUCUGCCCCCCGGCCCGGGAUAGCCCAGGGAAACCUGGAUUAAUACCGGAUGAGACGGGACCCGCGAUGGCGGGAUCCGGGAAAGGCGCUGCGGCGCCGCCGGGGGAUGAGUCUGCGUCCCAUUAGCUAGACGGCGGGGUAACGGCCCACCGUGGCGACGAUGGGUAGCCGGCCUGAGAGGGUGGACGGCCACAUUGGAACUGAGACACGGUCCAGACUCCUACGGGAGGCAGCAGCUAAGAAUCUUCCGCAAUGGGCGAAAGCCUGACGGAGCGACGCCGCGUGAACGAAGAAGGCCGUGAGGUUGUAAAGUUCUUUUCGGGAGGGGGAACAACCGUGGCAGGGAAUGGCCGCGGGAUGACGUGAAUCCCGGAAGAAGCCCCGGCUAACUACGUGCCAGCAGCCGCGGUAACACGUAGGGGGCGAGCGUUGUUCGGAAUCAUUGGGCGUAAAGGGCGUGCAGGCGGUCCUGCAAGUCCGGCGUGAAAGACCCCGGCCCAACCGGGGGGACGCGCUGGAAACUGCAGGGCUUGAGUACAGGAGGGGAUGCCGGAAUUCCAGGUGUAGGGGUGAAAUCUGUAGAUAUCUGGAAGAACACCAAUGGCGAAGGCAGGCAUCUGGCCAUGUACUGACGCUGAGACGCGAAGGUGCGGGGAGCAAACAGGUUUAGAUACCCUGGUAGUCCGCACAGUAAACGAUGUGCACCAGGUGGCGGG